AGAGUUUGAUCCUGGCUCAGAACGAACGCUGGCGGCGUGCCUAAAACAUGCAAGUCGAGCGAGAAAGGGAGCAAUCCUGAGUAAAGCGGCGCACGGGUGCGUAACACGUGGGUAAUCUGCCUCGAAGAGAGGGAUAACUAGCCGAAAGGUUAGCUAAUACCUCAUAAGCUUACGGUCUCCUCGGAGGCUGUGAGAAAAGG
rnacentral:rRNA from 1 species